rnacentral:rRNA from 1 species
UACGUAGGGGGCAAGCGUUGUCCGGAUUCAUUGGGCGUAAAGAGCUCGUAGGCGGUUCAGUAAGUCGGGUGUGAAAUCUCCGUGCUCAACACGGAGCGGCCACCUGAUACUGCUGUGACUCGAGUCCGGUAGGGGAGUGUGGAAUUCCCGGUGUAGCGGUGAAAUGCGCAGAUAUCAGGAGGAACACCGGUGGCGAAGGCGCCACUCUGGGCCGAAACUGACGCUGAGGAGCGAAAGCGUGGGUAGCAAACAGG